GUAGGUGGCAAGCGUUGUCCGGAAUUAUUGGGCGUAAAGCGCGCGCAGGCGGGUUCUUUAAGUCUGAUGUGAAAGCCCACGGGCUCAACCGUGAGGGUCAUUGGAAACUGGAGAACUUGAGUACAGAAGAGGAAAGCGGAAUUCCACGUGUAGCGGUGAAAUGCGUAGAGAUGUGGAGGAACACCAGUGGCGAAGGCGGCUUUCUGGUCUGUAACUGACGCUGAGGCGCGAAAGCGUGGGGAGCAAACAGGAUUAGAUACCCUGGUAGUCCACGCCGUAAACGAUGAGUGCUAAGUGUUAGGGGGUUUCCGCCCCUUAGUGCUGCAGCUAACGCAUUAAGCACUCCGCCUGGGGAGUACGACCGCAAGGUUG
rnacentral:rRNA from 1 species